CGAACGGGUGAGUAACGCGUGAGUAACCUGCCCUGGAGUGGGGGACAACAGUUGGAAGCGACUGCUAAUACCGCAUAAGCCCACGAUCCGGCAUCGGAUUGAGGGAAAAGGAUUUAUUCGCUUCAGGAUGGACUCGCGUCCAAUUAGCUAGUUGGUGAGGUAACGGCCCACCAAGGCGACGAUUGGUAGCCGGACUGAGAGGUUGAACGGCCACAUUGGGACUGAGACACGGCCCAG
rnacentral:rRNA from 1 species